CCCCAAGUAAUUUCACAAAUUUUUUCAUGAACUUCUCUCAGUGCAUAGUCGGCAUCUGUCUGUCCCAAACACUUCAAUAAGGGAAGAGAGAACGACCUCUUAUAUAAUUGACUAUUCAUCAAAAUAUAUUAUGAGGCCGUCCAUUUGAGUUGUUUGGCUUUUGAGAGAUCCGUAGAGAGAGUUUCAUCAGUCAAGUAUUGGAUAAUC
rnacentral:lncRNA from 1 species